GGUUAAUGGGGUUUUGAGAUUAGGACUUAGUUAACAAGUAUGGCUGCAAUCUUGAAAAGUCUUUUCCCUGUUUCUUCCUCAAAAAAGGAGGAUAAUCAUGAGGAGUUUGAUGUAGAAUACUCCUUUGCUGAGGAGUAUUCUGGUCCUCCUGUUGGUUAUGACAUUCCUCAGGUGGUUCCGGUUGAUGUACACCGGAUUCCAACUGCCUCAGUAGUUGCUGCUGCAGCUAU
rnacentral:misc_RNA from 1 species